rnacentral:rRNA from 1 species
CCCUUAGAUGUUCUGGGCGGCCCGCGCACUACAUUGGCACUCUCAAUAAGUUCCUAGAUCUAAAACUUUGGGGUAUUCUAUUAAGUGGUGUCGUGACUGGGAUUAACCCUUGCAAUUAUUGGUUACGAACGAGGAAUUCCUUGUAAUCGCGGUUUAUCAGCCCGCGUUGAAUGCGUCCCUGCCCUUUGUACACACCGCCCGUCACUCCUACCGAUGAAUCGUCCGGUGAAGUUCAUGGAGUGGUGGUUGUUCCAGCUGCUGUCGAAGUGAAAUGGACCUCACGAUUUAGAGGAAGGAGAAGUCGUAACA